UCCUACGGGGGGCAGCAGUGGGGAAUAUUGGGCAAUGGGCGCAAGCCUGACCCAGCAACGCCGCGUGAAGGAAGAAGGCUUUCGGGUUGUAAACUUCUUUUCUCAGGGACGAAGCAAGUGACGGUACUUGAGGAAUAAGCCACGGCUAACUACGUGCCAGCAGCCGCGGUAAUACGUAGGUGACAGGCGUUGUCCGGAUUUACUGGGUGUAAAGGGCGCGUAGGCGGGAUAGCAAGUCAGUCGUGAAAUGCCGAGGCUUAACCUCGGAGCUGCGAUUGAAACUGUUAUUCUUGAGUAUCGGAGAG
rnacentral:rRNA from 1 species